UGACCUGAGCCACAAUCAAGAGUUGGAUGCUCAACCGACUGAGCCACCCAGAUCAAAUUUCUGAGAAGAUUAACUACUACAUGAAGGAAAAUAUAAAACGUGCAGAAAAAAAUAUCCAUUUGUGAACAGCAGAUUCAGGCUUGUUUCUGGGAAGAAACCCUGACAGAAAUUCAGAAGAACGGGAGCUGCAUUCAGUUAGGAUGUGAAUACAUGAAAUGCUCAUCUCAAGACCUUCUAGAAGAAUGAGCUGGGACCCACUUUCCAAGUCCUGCUGGAACCAGAGACCGAG